rnacentral:rRNA from 1 species
UUGAGAAUCUUCGGCAAUGGGCGAAAGCCUGACCGAGCGAUGCCGCGUGUGGGAUGAAGGCCCUCGGGUUGUAAACCACUGUCGUAGGGGAGGAAGGCUCCGUGAAGAGCGGGGUUUGACCUAUCCUAGGAGGAAGUACGGGCUAAGUUCGUGCCAGCAGCCGCGGUAACACGAACCGUACGAACGUUAUUCGGAAUUACUGGGCUUAAAGGGUUUGUAGGCGGCCAUGUAAGUCAGGUGUGAAAUCCCUCGGCUCAACCGAGGAACGGCGCUUGAUACUGCAUGGCUUGGGGGAGACAGGGGUAAGCGGAACUGAUGGUGGAGCGGUGAAAUGCGUUGAUAUCAUCAGGAACACCGGUGGCGAAAGCGGCUUACUGGGUCUCUUCUGACGCUGAGGAACGAAAGCUAGGGUAGCGAACGGGAUUAGAUACCCCGGUAGUCCUAGCUGUAAACGAUGAGCACUUAUCUGGGGACCCUCCCAUAGGUUCCCGGAUGUAGCGAAAGUGUUAAGUGCUCCGCCG